rnacentral:rRNA from 1 species
UACGAAGGGGGCUAGCGUUGCUCGGAAUUACUGGGCGUAAAGGGCGCGUAGGCGGCACUGUUAGUCAGGCGUGAAAUUCCUGGGCUCAACCUGGGGACUGCGCUUGAUACGGCAGAGCUUGAGGAUGGAAGAGGGUCGCGGAAUUCCCAGUGUAGAGGUGAAAUUCGUAGAUAUUGGGAAGAACACCGGUGGCCGAAGGCGGCGAGCCUGGUCCAUUACUGACGCUGAGCGCGACAGCGUGGGGAGCA